rnacentral:rRNA from 1 species
GACGGAAGGUGCAAGCGUUGCUCGGAAUCACUGGGCGUAAAGGGUGCGUAGGCGGCUUGGUAGGUCUGGUGUGAAAGCCCCGGGCUCAGCCCGGGAAGGGCACUAGAAACUGCCAAGCUAGAGUGCCGGAGGGGAGAGUGGAAUUCCUGGUGUAGCGGUGAAAUGCGCAGAUAUCAGGAAGAACACCAAUGGCGAAGGCAGCUCUCUGGGACGGUACUGACUCUGAGACGCGAAAGCGUGGGGAGCGAACAGG